rnacentral:rRNA from 1 species
UACUAAGGGGGCAAGCGUUGUUCGGAAUUACUGGGCGUAAAGGGCGCGCAGGCGGCCUCUCAAGUCAGAUGUGAAAGCCCCGGGCUCAACCUGGGAAUAGCAUUUGGGACUGGGAGGCUUGAGAUCGGGAGAGGAGAGUGGAAUUCCCAGUGUAGAGGUGAAAUUCGUAGAUAUUGGGAAGAACACCAGUGGCGAAGGCGGCUCACUGGCCCGGUACUGACGCUGAGGUGCGAAAGCGUGGGGAGCAAACAGG